rnacentral:rRNA from 1 species
GUAUGCUUAUAAUACGUAAGACCUGCUCAAUGAUAUUUUAAAUAGCCGCAGUACAAUGUGCCAAGGUAGCAUAAUAACUUGCCUUAUAAUUAAAGGCUAGAAUGAAUGGUCAAACAUAUAAAUUUCUUUAUUAAUAAGGAUUCUUUAAUUUUUCAUAUAAGUAAAAAGACUUAUAUUGCCAAGAGGGACGACAAGACCCUGUCGAGCUUAACUUUAGUUUUACUGGGGUGGUAAAAAACAAAUUCUUUAUUAUGUAUAUCCUAUAUCAUCCUUUUUUUAAGAAUAAAAUAAGUUACCGCAGGGAUAACAGCAUAAUUUUUUUUAUAAGACCUUAUUUUAAAAAAAGAUUGUGACCUCGAUGUUGAAUUAUUUAUCUUUUAGGAGCAGAACCUUAAAAAGAAAGUCUGUUCGACUUUUAAAAAUUUACAUGAUUUGAGUUCAGACCGGCGUAAGCCAGGUCGGUUUCUAUCUUCUUUUAUUAAUUUUUAGUACGAAAGGACCAAAAUUAAAGCUUGAAGCUUUACUUUUAGCAAAAA